rnacentral:tRNA from 2 species
AUUUUUCUAGUAUAAAAGUACAUUUAACUUCCAAUUAAAAAGAUUGAUUAUUAAAUCAAGAAAAAUA